rnacentral:lncRNA from 1 species
AGAAAUGAGUCAAUUAAGGCUUACAUAUCUGCCUGGGCUCCCACAGGGCCAACCCUGGGUCAUAAGAUACAAGGCAGGAAGGAAGUCAUCAAGGUUUUAACACCUGAAAGUGGUUAAUGCCUCAGUUCCUAGAGUUCCUGCCAUUGCCACACACUCUACCCCUAGCACUGUGUGGGGCACAUGGACAGCACAUGGGGAACCUGUGAUUGGGUCUCUGCUCUCCAGGAAUGUCUAGCACGCAGGCAACAUCACAAAGGAGGGCAGGACUGGCUGUGGGGUGCAGUGGACUGCAAAGGGGGAGAUAGGACAGAGGCUUUUAGCAACUAGGGGAAGUUUCACGAGGAGGAGGGGCUGACACCUGAAGCAGAGAUGAGAGUCCAACAGGCAGCAGGUGGGCGGGGAUCUGUGUCUGCAGAAGUUCAGCGGUGAAGGCUACACCAGGAAAUCUCAAGAGACAGAAAAGAUCAACUACACUGGAGCUGGGGGGACGUGAAGGAGAAAAAAGAUUAACUGGAAGUGGAAUUUAUAUCUUUCAUUUAAGGAAUUUCUAAAUACAGGAAACUCAAUGCAUUUUACCAUCCAAAAGUGUUUGACAUGCCUAAGGAAAUGGAGCAUGAGGUUAUAUUAUAUAUCAGGAGGCAUCUAGUGGUGUGCUGCAGGGAUGUGGUGCUCUGGACUUGGUUAGCAUCUUUAUCAAUGGCAAUGACAAAAAGGGCAUCCUCAAUGAAUAACUGAAAGAGUUGAAGGAGAGAAGGAAAGAAGGGAGAGUGAAUAGAGAGAACAUUUACUAAAUGUGUAAUUUUCACACACAGUGUUGCAUUUCACCUUUCCAGCAACCGUAUGGGACAGGUGCUGUUCUCCCCAUUUUAUGAAGCAGGAAAUUGAAGCUCUGAAAGGGUAAUGAAUAGGCCCACAAGGACACAGUUGGUAAAGGAAGGGCUUGAAAUUUGAACCUACUGUAUUACAAAUUCUGCAUGCAAAAGUUGAACUGUGAUACUUAUGAGAUGUGUCCUUUGAUAAAACACACACCUGACUAAAUGUACCCAGGCAAGAUGGAGGAAAUAUCAUACCUUGUCAACAACGUGUGUAAAAAAUGGGCAUCAUUAUUUAUAACUAUUUUAAGUCCUACUAACUAGGGUAGGUAAUAGUAUUCUACCCUGCCAUGACCAGGCCACUCCUGGGGCACUGAGUUUAAUACUCAGGGCGUUCAGGAGACCCAUCUAUUCACCGAUUCACCUUGGCUGCUUUUGCACCAAAAUAGAAGAGUGGAGUAGUUGCAAUAGAGCUGAAAAUAUUUACUAUCUAUCUGGUUCCUUAAAGAAAAAAUUUUCUGUGCCCUGAUCUGAACCAGUGUUUUCUAAACCUUGAUUAUACUCCCACCUCCUUAAUCUUUUUUGUGUAUGGCAUCUUUGAAGUCCAUUUACACUAUUAUUUACUUUGUAAUUUUUUAAGUCAGUACGGUAUUUUUUAAAAAUUUAAACACUAUUGUAACCUCAUCCUAAGCAAAUGAUAUCUUUGUAAUAACAGGUUUUGUAUGUAAAUCAUAUAGGUUUAUAACAUGUUAAGAUAUAUUUUUAUAUUUGUAAUACAUAUAUUUUCAAUAUUGAUAUAUGCAUAAGUACAUACAAUAUUCAAUAAAAUAUUAAAACUAA